rnacentral:rRNA from 1 species
AGAAUGAACGUUGGCGGCGUGGAUUAGGCAUGCAAGUCGAACGAAUCCCAUCUGGGUAACUGGGUGGGGGAAGUGGCGAAAGGGGCAGUAAUGCAUGGGUAACUUGCCCCGGAGUUCGGGAUAGCCUUCCUAACGGAUGGGUAAUACCGAAUGCCGUACCGAGAGGGCCUCCUCAUGGUACGAAAGUUCCGACGCUCCGGGAGAGGUCCAUGUGGUAUUAGCUAGUUGGUGGGUAACGCCCACCAAGGCCAAGAUGCCUAGCAGGUGUGAGAGCACGACCUGCGUCACUGGCACUGGGACACUGGCCAGACUCCUACGGGAGGCUGCAGUCGAGAAUCUUCGGCAAUGGGCGAAAGCCUGACCGAGCGACGCCGCGUGUGCGAUGAAGGCCUUCGGGUUGUAAAGCACUGUCGAGGGAGAGAAAGCCGCAAGGUUUGAUCGAUCUCUGGAGGAAGCGACGGGCUAAGUUCGUGCCAGCAGCCGCGGU